rnacentral:rRNA from 1 species
GAUGAACGCUGGCGGCGUGCCUAAUACAUGCAAGUCGAACGCUGAAGGAAGGAGCUUGCUCUUUCCGGAUGAGUUGCGAACGGGUGAGUAACGCGUAGGUAACCUGCCUGGUAGCGGGGGAUAACUAUUGGAAACGAUAGCUAAUACCGCAUAACAGUAGAUGUUGCAUGAUAUCUACUUAAAAGGUGCAAUUGCACCACUACCAGAUGGACCUGCGUUGUAUUAGCUAGUUGGUGAGGUGACGGCUCACCAAGGCGACGAUACAUAGCCGACCUGAGAGGGUGAUCGGCCACACUGGGACUGAGACACGGCCCAGACUCCUACGGGAGGCAGCAGUAGGGAAUCUUCGGCAAUGGACGGAAGUCUGACCGAGCAACGCCGCGUGAGUGAAGAAGGUUUUCGGAUCGUAAAGCUCUGUUGUAAGAGAAGAACGAGUGUGGGAGUGGAAAGUUCACACUGUGACGGUAUCUUACCAGAAAGGGACGGCUAACUACGUG